GUUCGGGAGGGGUUCCUCGCCCCCCUGGGGCGGACUAUUCUCUGCGGGGCAACACCAACAAUUUCCCUUCGAUUGUACCUGGAAUAUGGUGUAAAAUCCUGCUCCCCAUACUAACACGGAUUAUACAGACCAAAGAACAAACUGCCGGUAGAACUCAGUGGGUUGGGCAGCGUCUGUGGAGGAAAAUGGGCCGUCAAAAUUUCAAGCUGAGACCCGCCCUCUGGACUGAGAGUAGACGGGAAAUCCGUUCGUUGUUGAAGCAUAUUGUCAGCGUGAUCGGGAGAGGAAAUGGGUCCUCCGGGGGAGAGUUCCGAUUCCCACCGAAGUUGUGUUGCCAAUCCAUAGAGGUUUACGGAUCAGAUGCUGCUCAAUUGGCGCUGUGUGGUUUAGCAACGUAUAGCAUGCAGAAUUACGUCGGGCCGAAUUGUCUGUUUGCCAGAUGACCCUG